GUAGGACUAGUCCUGGAUGGGGGAAAGCC
rnacentral:piRNA from 1 species